rnacentral:tRNA from 1 species
ACCUGGCUGGCUCAGUGACUAAAGCACAUGACUUUUGAUCUUGGGGUUGUAAGUUCGAGCCUCACAUUGGGUG